UCAUCUUCAUCAGCAGCUGUUCUUCAUCAUCUUCAUCUGCAGCUGUUCUUCAUCAUCUUCAUCUGCAGCUGUUCUUCAUCAUCUUCAUCUGCAGCUGUUCUUCAUCAUCUUCAUCUGCAGGACCUUCUGGCUGGCUGAGGCUCGGUUCUUCUGAGGCUCGGUUCUUCUGAGGCUCGGUUCUCCUUCUGGCUGGAGGAGGCUCGGUUCUCCUUCUGGCCCGCCGGACGUUUGAGCGAAGAGUCGGAAAUAGCCGAGCGUCACUCGGGUCAGUCCGUGACACCGAGACGUGACGUCACUUCAUUGGCAGGCUCGCUACCGGAACUACCUUUCAAAAGACACAGGUCCACCUCUCCUGCUGGACGUGUCCUCCUCUCCUGCUGGACGUGUCCUCCUCUCCUGCUGGACAUCUCCUCCUCUCCUGCUGGACGUCUCCUCCUCUCCUGCUGGACAUGUCCUCCUCUCCUGCUGGACGUGUCCUCCUCUCCUGCAGCUGCAGUCAGGGCGUCCUACAUGUGUUUGAGUUGUAGCAGCAGCUGAGUAAACAUGAUCACUGAAAACAAACAAACAAACAAACAAACAAACAAACAAACAAACACUUUGCUUUGAUCUUUCACCUUUGAUCCUGAUAAGAAAGGAAGACAAACACACACACACACACACACACACACACACAGAAAAAGGCCUCAAACAGUAUGGAAUGGAGCCCCCGACCAUAUGAUUUAAAUAAAUUUCAAUUCAGUUGUAUUUAUAGAGGUGGAGGGGUAUCGGAGUCCCUGGCAGUCUAGUCCUAUAGCAGCAGAACUCAGGGCCCGGUUCUGGUGCUAAAGGCAGAUUUAGUUAGCAGCAGCUCAUGAGCAGUUAACUGUCUGUCAACCUGUCCAUCAUGAAGUGGACGUCACAUCAGACCCAGUUUGAAGAAAGUUCUGUGGUUCUGGUUCUGACCGCAGCAGCCCUCACAGACUGGAUCAAACAGGAAGCGGCGGCCAUGUUCGUUCACCUGUUCGGCUGACAUCGUCUCUGUCGCCGGUCGUCUCCAUGGUAACCGAGUCAUCAGUGUGACAUCACCACCUCCUUCAUUAAGGACCUGAUUCAUCAUCUGAUUCAAACCUCACACACUCCAUCAUGUGUUGCUCCAUCGUCUCCACCGGGUGGUGCUGCUGUCCUCAAGAGAAACCAGACUCCACCCACAGAUCUGUGCUCACACAGAACCAGAAACUGGACCUGACAUCAUAUUCAUAAAGACUCACUCUGGUUAUGUGAUGUCAUGAAUAAGACGACGAGUCUCUCUGAGUGAUAGAGCAGAACGGCUUUAAUUCAAAGGUUAACAACAGGUGGUGUCUUCAUAUUCUAACAUGCUCUGCGUGUCCGGAACACACUGACAGAUACUUGGUCCCAUAGGAAAGUAUUUACAUAAAUACAUGAUAACUGAAGAAAUACAACAACAGACAGACAGCAGGGAGGUCCAUCAGAACCAUCAGAUCCAUCAGAUCCAUCAGAUCCACCAGAACUAUCAGGUCCAUCAGAUCCAUCAGAACCAUCAGGUCCAUCAAAACCAGACGGAUACAGCCAGUAAACUUCCCAUCCUGCAUGUGUGCUGUCUAAAUGUGACACAGCAGCUCGGAUAUGAUCAUAAGAACAGAAAUAACACGAGACAGUUUGAUGCAACGACAGGAAGUGACUUUAAAGGGUUAACUCAGCAUGUGGGACGCUUCCUGUUCUCAGUCAGCGUGAAAACGUUUCUGUAUGUUGAUAACGUGAUGUCACACACCUGAACAGUCAUUCUCAGGUAGCAGGAAGUUGACCUACUCAAACAGUAGAAACAGUAGAAAACAGAAAGAUGUUUU